rnacentral:lncRNA from 1 species
GCACAGGAAGGCUCCAGUGACAGGCAUGUACCAGACCUGCGCUUGGCCAGUGACCUAGAGCUCCCUGAACUUCUCUGUGCAGGAGCAACUCCUGAAGUGACGGCCGAGCUGCUCAUCCUGUACAGUUACCUGGAUUUUGCUCCCAGCAAGCCACACCUUGGGAUUCAGGCUCAGGUUUGUGAUGAGCUAAGGCGGGGCUUAGUUCACAUGUUUAUUCUUGGUUUUCUGUUGCCUUCCUUCUACAAGUAUAUUAGAGAACCACUGGAGACAGAAAACUAUAAAGUGUUGCUUUCUAGAAAUGACUAUGAAAGCUUUUAUCACUGCUAUAUCCUUAAGAGCCUAAGCUCUACACUUUUUGAAAUUUUAGGGAGAGUGAGCCUAUGAUUUCAAGAUACCUUAAAAAGCAAAAUUUUAACCACGUCUUCCAAGUGCCAUUCUUCAUAAAUCUAUUUAGAAUCAAGCUUAAAAAUCACCACCAGCAAAUCAUUUUCGUAGCCUAUGUGGCAACUGAACAUUCUUCUAUUUAAUUUUUUCAGCACUGCUUUAUUAUAAGACAUAGGUUGCAAAAAAUAAUAAGCUAUUUGUAUUGUAAGCUGAAAAGAAUGAGAAUCAUAGAGUAGAUGUGCAGCAAUCUCUUCUGCUGCUGCUGCUAAGUCGCUUCAGUCGUGUCCGACUCUGUGCGACCCCAUAGACAGCAGCCUUCUGAGGAUGGCAAGAAAAAUAGACAUUUCAACUGUGCCUUUAGAUUCGCAAUCACGUUGAUUGAAAUAAAUAACCCCAGGUCAUUCACCUUAAAACCUAAAUAAACAAACAAACAAUCGGCCAACCAGAGGUGUAGAAUUGGUAUAGAAUUUAAAGGCUCAAGAGACAGUUUUCUAUGACAGUUAACCUGGGAUAUCCUCGACUGCACAUUAAUGAAGUCUCCUUUAUGCACAGUUGGGAAAGUCCCCUGGAGGAGGAAAUGGCAACCCACUGCAGUAUUUUUGCCUAGAGAAUCCCAUGGACAGAGGAGCCUGGCGGGCUACAGUCCACGGGGUCGCAAAAAGUCAGACACGACUGAGCGACUAAUACUAAUACUAAGGCGGGGCUUGUAUGAAACCUCCAGGGACAACGGUGCCAUACUGAAAACCACCACCAGGUGGCAGCAGAAUCCAGGCGUCCAGGUGAGGAGGACGGAAAGCCAUGGAAGGCCUCACAGCCGUCAAGAGGGGUGGGUGUCUCUAAGUUUGCCUCACCCUCAUCAUUCACCCCACCCUCCACACACAGAAACGCACGGUCCUGCUCCUGCACCUACCUGUUUACUGUUUCCUCGUCCAGGUGCUGAGCAAAUGUUGGACUUUACUCAGUGAAAAACCCUGACGGUGUGUGCAAGAAGCUGCGGAAGGACUCCUUUAGGACUGAAGACGGUGUGCAUAGAAGGGAUUGGGAAGAUCCCCUGGAGGAGGGCAUGGCAACCCACUCCAGUACUCUUGCCUGGAGAAUCCCAUGGACAGAGGAGCCUGGCGGGCUACAGUCCAUGGGGUCGCAGAGUCAGAUAUGACUGAAGCGGCUUAGCACACAGGCAUGUAGCCCAUCAGAGGGUGAGGGGAUAGGCCUCCACCACCUGAGUCCUGCCUCCUCUCCUGCUUCAUCUCCAGACUCUCUCUCUCUCCAGCCUGAGCUCCAACGUGUCUUAAUCCCUUUCAGUUCCUCGAAUCCACAAACCUCUCCUUUGUUCUGACCUUUGGGCCUGUCUUUCCACUGCUUGGAAAGCCUCCUCUGUCUUUUACUGACUGACUCUUACUCUCCUCUCAGGUCAAAAGUGAAACAUCGCUUUGCCCAGCAGGACGCCUCCUCCUCUGUGAGAUGAACCCCACCCCUCCACCCCGACCC